AACAAACGCUGGCGGCGUGCCUAACACAUGCAAGUCGUACGAGAAAGGGUCCUUCGGGGCCUGAGUAAAGUGGCGCACGGGUGAGUAACGCGUGGAUAAUCUGCCCUUCAGUUGGGAAUAACUCAUCGAAAGGUGGGCUAAUACCGAAUAAUGCUGUGAGACCUCGGUCGAUCAGCCAAAGAGAGCCUCUGCUUGCAAGCCCUCGCUGAAGGAUGAGUCCGCGUACCAUUAGCUAGUUGGUAGGGUAAUGGCCUACCAAGGCGACGAUGGUUAGCUGGUCUGGGAGGAUGAUCAGCCACACUGGAACUGAGACACGGUCCAGACUCCUACGGGAGGCAGCAGUGAGGAAUCUUGCGCAAUGGGGGCAACCCUGACGCAGCAACGCCGCGUGAGUGAGGAAGGUCUUCGGAUCGUAAAGCUCUGUCGGAUGGAAAGAACCACAUAGGGGUAAACAGCCCCUGUGUCUGACGGUACCAUCAAAGGAAGCACCGGCUAACUCCGUGCCAGCCGCCGCCGUAAAAC
rnacentral:rRNA from 1 species